rnacentral:rRNA from 1 species
GAUGAACGCUGGCGGCGUGCCUAAUACAUGCAAGUCGAACGAAACUUCUUUAUCACCGAGUGCUUGCACUCACCGAUAAAGAGUUGAGUGGCGAACGGGUGAGUAACACGUGGGCAACCUGCCCAAAAGAGGGGGAUAACACUUGGAAACAGGUGCUAAUACCGCAUAAUCAUAGUUACCGCAUGGUAACUAUGUAAAAGGUGGCUAUGCUACCGCUUUUGGAUGGGCCCGCGGCGCAUUAGCUAGUUGGUGAGGUAAAGGCUUACCAAGGCAAUGAUGCGUAGCCGAACUGAGAGGUUGAUCGGCCACAUUGGGACUGAGACACGGUCCAAACUCCUACGGGAGGCAGCAGUAGGGAAUCUUCCACAAUGGGCGAAAGCCUGAUGGAGCAACGCCGCGUGGGUGAAGAAGGUCUUCGGAUCGUAAAACCCUGUUGUUAGAGAAGAAAGUGCGUGAGAGUAACUGUUCACGUUUCGACGGUAUCUAACCAGAAAGCCACGGCUAACUACGUGCCAGCAGCCGCGGUAAUACGUAGGUGGCAAGCGUUAUCCGGAUUUAUUGGGCGUAAAGGGAACGCAGGCGGUCUUUUAAGUCUGAUGUGAAAGCCUUCGGCUUAACCGGAGUAGUGCAUUGGAAACUGGGAGACUUGAGUGCAGAAGAGGAGAGUGGAACUCCAUGUGUAGCGGUGAAAUGCGUAGAUAUAUGGAAGGACACCAGUGGCGAAAGCGGCUCUCUGGUCUGUAACUGACGCUGAGGUUCGAAAGCGUGGGUAGCAAACAGG